GCGCCCUGCCCUCCCUCCCCCUCUCACAGAGAGCGCCCUGCCCUCCCUCCCCGCCCUCACAGAGAGCGCCCGGCUCCAUUGCUGCUACUGGCCGCUGCGACCGGUCGUGUCAUGCCAGCACACGAUCGUGAUGUCACAGCAAUCUCUUGAGGACAGAGUAAGUCAGGAUCUUAAGUACCUGGCUUAUAACAGACACUUAAUGAAUAUUAUGCAGCAAAUGAGUGAACUUUCCUAAACAGAGAAGAAGUGAGCAAAUUAGAUCAAUGCUGCUCGAAGUACAGUAACACCAUCCAGGGCGUGUCUGUCAGCUGUUGUUGGACUAUAUGGCAAGAGAGCUCUGAAGAGUCAGACAGGCUCUGCUCGAUCAAGUGAUAUUUAUGUGCCAGCCAGCUCCGACCCUGAGCAGAGCACCAAGUCAGCUCCUGGAGUCUGUUUCCUAACCUUGCCUACAACCUGAACCACUGCACAACUCCGCAGCAGUGAAGAUGGGUGCUGAACCGAGGACGUGUGCAGCCUCGACAGAUGCUGAACAUGGAGCUGGGGGAGAGGCUCCAGGCCAGGCUAGAGCACUACCACAUAUUUAGGCAUGACGAUAGUCUUCAGAGCAAGGCAUAGGUACCAGGAGUGAGCCACUGUGGGUUCCAUCGUCUGUCUAAGAUGCUGAUGGGCUUGACUUCAGUGGAAUUUCUUCUAAAGGGAGAAAUUCUCCCUACAAGGGCUUCGAGGUGAAAAUUAAAGGUGAGUUUUCAGAGGCGUUUCACAAGUGGCUAGCUGGCAAGGGUGCUCGAGCAUGUGUCUCUUCAUACAGAGAGUUGCCCCAAGUGUCCUCCACAGCGUCUGAGGAUGGCACCCCACGCCCCACUGGGCCAGGCUUGAAUCACACUGGAAUUAAUGAGACUUCAACCCCAGAACCUCUGGGGUCUCAAUGACUUGGUUGCUCUUGCCUGUCCUCCUCUUUCUACCAUAUUCACAGAAAGGGCAUCCUCGACGGGCCUCCAUGGUUCAUGCAGAGAGAGAUGGAGGAGGGAAGGGAGGCUUCUCGUUGCAAAAGCUUGUUGUGCUCACUUUGUCAAAGGGAGUUCAGGGAAUGAGGCAUCCUAAUCCAUUUUCUCCUCUGGAGAACUGAGGGCUGUCCAGGAGGUAAACAUCACUCCACUUCAGCCUCAGCCCUAACGGCCAUGCUCUCCGUGACCCUUGGCAGACAUGCUCCACGCUGCUCUGUCUGCCUGGGAGGGCCUGCCCCUCACUCAAUCCCCAACUCCCACCUUCCCUAAAAGCGUCCUUGGCUACCUCCACCCCUCCCCUGUCAGGGCCCCGGUGUGUUCCCAUAACGCCUCCGAGAACAUUUCUCGUGGAAGUUGUCACACUCUGCUGAAAUGGCUGGUCUUCUGGUGUUUAGCCCUCAUUUGUAAAACUGGAAUGAGAUCUGCUCUUCCUUCUUCACAGGGAGCUCAGAAGGGUAUGGUGGAAAUGAUAACAAUAUGGCAAUACUUUGUGCUGGGACUUUCACCAUGCUUGCACGUUCGGAAAUGCUCUCUUGUUGGUUCUGUGAGAAAGUCCCUUCAGAACAAUACAGCAUAAUAUAAAACUAAGGUGGAAUCAUGAUUACUAUUAACGAAUUAUUGUAUUGCCGGUUUGGGGUUAGCUGGGCUUUGGGGAAGGUGGUUUACUUCAAAAUAAAUGUUCAUGGAAUCCAAAGCUGUCUUUUUUUAAAAAAAAAUGCACCCGUGGCAGCCUUUGGCCAGGGAUGGCCUAUUGCUUACAGAGCAUACAUAUAAUGGCAUCCUCCUUUGUUCGAAAGACCUUCGAACAAAGUGCCUGUGCUGGCAGCAGCCAAUUUGUUCAUUAAGGAAACUGACUCUGCCAUGAACUGAACACAUUCAGAUGACCAGAAGCCACCGUUCUCCUCAGCAACCUGUCCGGCCAGCGCCUUCCAUCAGUAGCCCCUUCACCGCCCAGCAGGGACAUCACAGCAAGAGCAGGCCUUGCUCAGGAUGGGCGAGCCCGUCGGGGGCUCCUGCCUGGCAAGGGUGUCCUGUGUGGCAGGUGCUGUAAUAAGCCGUAAGUCACAAUGGUGAACAAGAGACGCUGUCUUGGCAGAGAUUACUGUAGGAGGUUGAGAGUCUCGCCCAGAGUCACACAGCGAGGAAUGGCAGAGGCAAAGUAGACUCAGACAGAGUGUGGCUCCAAAGCAUCGCCAGCUCUGAGUGUCCCCCAUACCAUCACUCCCACUGGCCCUCUCCAAGGUUUCUCAAAUAAAGCUGCUUUCUCUGCAAACCCAGCUUCCAGACACUUUUCCUAGCCACCCCUUCUAACCAGGUCCCUCCUCCUAGUCUCUUCCUACAACAAAUAAGCCAGUUUCUGAUAUUUUAAAAGAAGUCUGCUGUUUCCUGCUCUGGAUGAUGGUUCCACAGGUAUGUUUAACACAUGAAAAGUCAUCAAGCUGUAUACAAUGUGUUCACAUUUUCUGUAGGUAAAUUAAACUUCAACAAAAGAUAUUUUAAAAAAUAAGGAUUCAUUUUCUCAAGUUUCAUCUUGCAAGAGUUCAUCUCAUUAAUUCUCAGACCUACUUUAAUAAUUCCCAUAGUGUGUUGCUAAUUGCUACAAAUAAUCAUUAAAUUCCCCCUCAAAAAUCACAAAAAGAAAUCACUUUUAAGUCAGUAUAUUUUUAUACGCAUAACAUUUCUGUUCAAAACAGAUUUUGUUCUGAAAGUUUGUUUGCAAGAUGCUGGUUUACAACCUUUAAUGCAUGUUCAUUCUCCGAAGUCGAGAUUCUACGGUGUUUACAUUCCUAAGCCUGAAGCACAUUUAGGCCCUACAUAGUUGAAUUAAAACAAACAAUGCCAAGCCCUGAGUCAUCCCAUUAUCUGGAAGCCUCUCUGAGCCCUGCCCCUGUGACCUUCAGCCGAGCAGGGACCGUGGCCUUCUCCCCCUCGCUGUCCCAGCCACCCUCCCCUCCCUAGUCUCCUCCACUUGCAAGAGCACAAUCCAGGGAUUGCUGCUUCAGGGCUAAAGUUCUCAGCAUGGCCCAAGUUCAGAGUCAGAUGUAACACCAGCCACCCAGGUGACUGCCCAGAGCACCCUAAAAAGACACUAGGACCUCAUCUCAAAACUAAAGUGAUGGAAAAAAUGAUUCUCAAAGUAGCUGGAAGAAAUACUCUGAAAACUGCAGGAAGCCGAGGGAGCAGCCUCCAAGGGGCACACUUAAGGAAGGCCGCACAGCCUCCACACUUCUUUCUAAGGAAUGUGAAUCUCAUUUACCGAAGGAUUCAUAUAUUCUCAGUUGGGUACGCAUGUCUGGGGCAGGAGCUGAAUUGUUCAAGGAGAGAGAGAGCAAAGAGGCCAAUCACACACAUCUAAUCAUUCUAUGGUGUCACAGUGCUAUAAAGCUAGGUUGUCAAACUAUGGCCCACCCAUGGGCCAGGUCCACCCCACUACCUGUUUUUGUAUGGCCCACAAAUUAAGAAUGGGUUUUACGUACUUUAAUGGUUGUAAAAAAAUCAAAAGAAAAUAUUUUAUGCUGUGAAAAUUAAUAUGAAAUUCAAAGUUUCAGUUUCCAUAAAUAGCAUUUUAUUAGAACAUGGUCAUGCCCAUUCACUUUCAUAUUAUCUAUGAAAGUGAUAUGGCUGCUUUCUCGCUACAAUGCAAAGUUGCAACAGAAACUUUAUGGCUCAACAGCCUAAAAUAUUUUUAAUCUUGUCUUUUACACACAAAGUGCGCCAACUUCUGCUAUAAAGAAAGGCAGUUCAGAGCCAGAACAGGGCGUAGACCUGGGGUUAGGCAGGCUCGGGUUUAGCUCCAAUGUCUGCCACUUACUGUGUGACCUCAAGCCAAUUACUUAGCCUCUCUGAGCUUCAGUUCCUUUGACAACAAAGGCAGUAUAGCAUAGUGAUGACAGCAUGGACUCUGGGACCAUACUGCCUUUUAGCCUGCCCCACUGCUGGCUGUGUGAUCUCACGAAGGUUACUUAACCACUCUAAGCCUCUCUUCAGUUGGAAAGCAUAUUAGAUGGUACCUGGCCCAGAAUGAGUACUGCAGAAACAUUUACCAUUAUCAUCAUGUACCAUGAAGGGUUGUUGUAAGAUCAUUAUGAGCUACUGUGUAUCGUGAGCUUAAACAGCACCGGAACAGAACAGGCACUGCCUGCCGUAGCUGCUCUGAUGGUGAAGACACGCACCGGUACUUAGACAUCCAGAAGAAGAGCAAUUAAUUCUCUGGAAAUGGGAGACAGGACUGGUGAUAAGGAAUCCUGCAUUUGAAAGGUGAUAUGUGAUCUGUAGGAUGAGUA